rnacentral:rRNA from 2 species
GUUGACCUCGGAUCAGGUAGGAAUACCCGCUGAACUUAAGCAUAUCAAUAAGCGGAGGAAAAGAAACCAACAGGGAUUGCCCCAGUAACGGCGAGUGAAGCGGCAACAGCUCAAAUUUGAAAUCUGGCCCCAGGCCCGAGUUGUAAUUUGCAGAGGAUGCUUUUGGCGCGGUGCCUUCCGAGUUCCCUGGAACGGGACGCCAUAGAGGGUGAGAGCCCCGUACGGUUGGACACCAAGCCUUUGUAAAGCUCCUUCGACGAGUCGAGUAGUUUGGGAAUGCUGCUCUAAAUGGGAGGUACAUUUCUUCUAAAGCUAAAUAUUGGCCAGAGACCGAUAGCGCACAAGUAGAGUGAUCGAAAGAUGAAAAGCACUUUGAAAAGAGGGUUAAACAGCACGUGAAAUUGUUAAAAGGGAAGCGCUUGUGACCAGACUUGCGUCCGGUGAAUCACCCAGCUCUCGCGGCUGGGGCACUUCGCCGGCACAGGCCAGCAUCAGCUUGCCGUCGGGGACAAAAGCUUCAGGAACGUAGCUCCUCUCGGGGAGUGUUAUAGCCUGUUGUAUAAUACCCUUCGGCGGGCUGAGGUACGCGCUCCGCAAGGAUGCUGGCGUAAUGGUCAUCAGCGAC